AUCCGCCUGCCUCGGCCUCCCAAAGUGCUGGGAUGACAGGUGUAAACCACCACGCCCACCACACUUUCCCUUUCUCUUACAAAGCACCCUGGCUUCUGGGAUUAUGGGCAUUAUUCUUGGCAUUGUUGCCCUGGUUGGGGCUGGGCCCUGGGUGUGGGGGGCUGCCUUGGCUACCUUGGCAACCCCACCUGGCCAGGGCUCCAGGUAGCCUCCAUCAGGGCAGUGCGUUGCCCCCAUCAGAGGUUUCAGGCCCUCCUUUCUUUCUAUCUCUCUGUUCCCACCCCAGAUCUCCAGGAGCCUCCCUUCCUAUCUCUCCCAAGGCAACUUCCUUUUUUUUAGGUCUCAGAAUGAACCUCUGUUUUUUGGGAGAAAAAACACAGGUUACCCAACUUAUGAUAAACUCAGUGUGUUUUCAAAUAGGAAAUUUUAAUUGUUCUCUGGGAGCCUAAACAAAAGGAUUUCCUAAGGCUUCCUGAGGAAGAGUCACAUCAGCUGAGCCUGGAAAGAUGAGCAGAGUUUAGGCGUGUUGAAGAAGCAUGACAAAUGAUUUAUUACAUUUGAAAGCUUUAAAUGCUUCCAGGAAUAACAAGAUCUACAGACAUGCAACAGAGUGACGCCACUGGAAAACAUUUGUCACACUUUUGUGGUUCUUCCUUCGCACUGAGCAGCUUCUUGUUUUAGGAUCCCAUCCAGAAUCCCACAUUAUAUUAGGUCUUCAUGUCUCCUUGGGAUCCUCUUGACUGUGACAUUUUCUCAGACUUUCCUUGUUUUUGAUGACCUUGACAGUUUUGAGGAGCACUUGUCAGGUACUUUGUAGAUUGCCCCUUAAGUGGAAUUUGCCUGAUGUUUUUCUCAUGAUUAGACUGGGGUACUGAAUUUCAGGAGGAAGAUCUUGGAGAUAAAGGGCCAUUCUCAUCAUAUCCUAUCAAGGGUACAUACUAUCAAUAUAAUUCUUUACUGUUGGUGUUGACCUUGAUCUCCAGGCUGGGGUAGUGUUUGCCAAGUUCAUGGACUCCUGAGUUACUCUUUUCUCCCUUUUCCCUUACUGAACUUUUGGAAGGAAGUCACUAUAUGCAGCUCACACUUAGAGAGUAGGAAGUUACAUUCUAUCUUUCUCAGAAUGGAAUAUUUACAGAAAAUAUUUGGACAUUUUCUGCACUAGAGAUUUAUCUAUUUGUUUACUUAUUCAGGCAUUCAUUUAUAUGAGUAUGGAUUCACAGAUAUUUCUCUUACACUUUGGAUUAUAAUCCAAAGCUACUUUAUUUGUU